AUUCCAGCUCCAAUAGCGUAUAUUAAAGUUGUUGCAGUUAAAAAGCUCGUAGUUGGAUUUCUGGCGUGAGGUGCUUGACCCGCCGCGGUUACGCGUGUGAGUGUCGGUGUGCCUCGGCCAUCCUUCUAGAAAUUGGCUCUGCCCUUCAUUGGGUUGGGGUCAGGAUCUAGAUCUUUUACUUUGAAAAAAUUAGAGUGUUUAAAGCAAGCGUUGCGUGAAUACAUUAGCAUGGAAUAAUAACUUAGGACUUCGGUUCUAUUUUGUUGGUUUCUAGGACUGAAGUAAUGAUUGAUAGGGAUAGUUGGGGGUGCUAGUAUUCAGCGGCCAGAGGUGAAAUUCUUGGAUUCGCUGAAGACUAACUUAUGCGAAAGCAUUCACCAAGGAUGUCUUCAUCG
rnacentral:rRNA from 1 species